UUGAAUUAUAAUUACCAC
rnacentral:snRNA from 1 species